rnacentral:rRNA from 1 species
CUGAGACACGAAAGCGUGGGUAGCAAACAGGAUUAGAUACCCUGGUAGUCCACGCCCUAAACGAUGCAUAUUUGGUGUAGGUCAUUCAGUUGAUCUGUGCCGGAGCUAACGCGUUAAAUAUGCCGCCUGGGGAGUACAGUCGCAAGGCUGAAACUCAAAGGAAUUGACGGGGGCCCGCACAAGCGGUGGAGCAUGUGGUUCAAUUCGACGCAACGCGAAGAACCUUACCUGGGCUCGAACGGCCGGUCAACGGCGGUGGAAACAUCGCUACUCCGCAAGGAGGUCCAGUCGAGGUGCUGCAUGGCUGUCGUCAGCUCGUGUCGUGAGAUGUUGGGUUAAGUCCCGCAACGAGCGCAACCCUUGUCCUGUGUUGCCAACCCGCAAGGGGGGACUCGCAGGAGACCGCCAGCGAUAAGUUGGAGGAAGGUGGGGAUGACGUCAAGUCCUCAUGGCCUUUAUGUCCAGGGCUACACACGUGCUACAAUGGCCGGUACAAAGCGCAGCUAAGUCGCGAGACGGAGCCAAUCGCAAAAAACCGGUCUCAGUUCGG